GGUUGCCGAUCUAUUAGUCUAUGUUAUCUAUCUGUCCCCAGUGGCAUUCUAUACUCUUCCGUUUAGGAUUGCACCCUAUAUACGGGUUGUAUUUUUCAUCCUGAACAUCAGGUAUGGUAUGGGUAGUUGGAUACCCUAUUACAGUUUUUCUCCUGCAUUAUGUUCUCAUUUGUGCUUUCUGGAUUUUUCGUCUUUCCCUGGGGUGCUAUGUCCCAUUAGGAUUUAUACAUUGGUUUUGGAAUAACUCUUCCUGAUUACAAAGUUCCAUCUUCUAGCUGGCACGCUCUUGAACAUUGAAAUCCUAUUGUUGUCUUUUGGACUAAGGUUUGGGAUUAUCAUUUGGUGGAAAAGUUUGCCUGUCAAUUCGGGUAGAUGAGUUUUCCAGUUUUGAUGCUGCUUUUCAACUGGUAGAAGCAGUCUUCACAAGGUGAACAUUGGUUUUUAUUGGAAUCAUGUUCAGAUGGAUGCAAGGUUAUGGACUGAAUAAAUUACCAAAUUUACAAUAUAUGAAACUGAUUUCCACCUUUCGACUAUACAUAGGUGAAAACUUAAAACCAUGAUAAGCAUAUCAUUCAUUAGAAUUGAUUGUCAGUUAUGGUGCCCACUUGAGGGCGAUUGCUUGGAGAAAGAAGAGGUUGGAAUUUGUUGAUUUUCAAUUAACCCAACACACAGGAAGAGGAAAUACCAUUCUUCCCAAAAAGGAUACUCUAAGCCAAUCAUAUGCCACGUAGCAUCAUUUAAUUCCUUCGCGUGACUGCUAAUUUCCACUAACUGAAUUGCUUCUUAAUUUUGUAAAUUGACAUUAGGGAUUUACGAGAUAGCAUUGUCAUCCUGGCUGGAAUGUUCGGCACGUACCUUAAUAUUCUGGUGCGUCCACUUAGUAGUUCUGGUACUUAUCUUCAAAAGAAUUUAUUACACAUAUAAUUGAAGUAUUGCCACUAUUAUGAUCUUUCUAUCUCUUCAAUUUCACGAGUGAAAUUUGAUUGUGCUUUUUGCCUUUCUGGGGACCUAAUGCAGGCUCUAUGGGCUUUGUUUCUCUUGUUCUGUAGCUGGUUGGCAUUUGUUAUUUUUGAAGAUACGCAACAGGGAAAGACUAUAUUCACUUCAUAUGGUACCACAUUAUACCAAAUGUUUGUUUUAUUUACGACUUCCAAUAACCCAGAUGUCUGGAUUCCUGCAUACAAGUAAGUAGCUUUGAAACAUUGGUUUUUUAGAUUCAUCCUCUUCUCUCUUUCUAAUAUUGCCUAUUUAUUAUGCUGCAUUCCUUCCCCCUACCUUGCACCGUUAAGGUAGUCAUACAGCACACACAGGAGAAGAUUUGAAUUUACGUCCAAGCAACACUGCUAAACCUUUAGAACUUAUUAACGACUUCUAUAGUUAUCAAUUUCCAUAUUGUUCUACUAUUUGCUUAUAACUGAUUUUCUCUUGUUUUAUUCACCUCCAUGAUAUGUUGGUUCAUAGGGCCUCACGGUGGUAUUGCCUAUUUUUUGUUCUCUACGUGCUGUUGGGCGUUUACUUUGUCACCAAUUUGAUUCUUGCUGUUGUAUAUGAUAGCUUUAAAAGUGAGGUAUUUGAUGCAUCCCUUGCACUAUAUUUUUACGCUAACACUUUUUCUGUAUAACUCAUAUAUUAUCCAAUUGCCCAAUAUGAGAUGAAAUAUAUCACUUGCCAUUGUAGAAGGAAUGGAGCUUCAAACUCCUACUUCAGAUUUGGAGGCAUUAUACUAAAUUGCUGUCUUUCUUUUUUGGCAUUCAUUGUUGUCUUACAAAAAGCACUAUACACCAUUUAGAUGUCAAUUUGUGACUUCUUGUUCUCAUGUUGACAGCUUGAUGUGUAUCUAAUACUAGUUUUUGUUACAGCUCGUAAAACAAGUCGAUCAGAAGGAUCGUACAAGGAUGAGAAUACUAAAGAAAGCAUUUGAC
rnacentral:lncRNA from 1 species